CUUUUUGCGGUCUGGGCUUGCUGUUAACACACCUCAACCCAGGAAGCCCUUACCCCAAAAAGCAU
ensembl:miRNA